GUUACACACAGGCUUGUGGCGCCUCCAUUGUCCUGUCAGGAGGUAACGGGGAGGAUGUGAGUUCUCUCAAGUGGUAUACCCAUAUUCCACAACUUCAGACAUGCAGCUCAAAUUAUGCAUGGUGGAGAAGUUUGUUGCUUUAAAAACAGCACAGGUUCAAUCCAAAUGCCAAGGACAUUCUGAAAGGUGGUGCAUUUUCAAUCCAGAGAACAAAGAGGAAUUACAGCAGGUCUGUGGUGGAUUUGUGUUUUGAAGAGACAAUGAACCAAGAUACUGCAUCACCAAUGAAAGGGAUAACACCCUUCUGAAACUCAGAAAGUGCAUUCAGGAGAUGGGCAGUGAUCCUCAUACAGCGAGGCAUGGCUGUCGCUGAACUCAGAGAGGUUGUUAACCUCUUCAAAACAUCAAGCUAAGCCAACUCAACUCUUGAAAAUUAAACAAGACAGCAAGGAUAUCAGCACUCAUAAAAUGCACAUACAAUCCUUUUUUCCAGUGCCUCUAGCUCAGGACUCUAUAAACUGUCCUCAGGAAAGGCAGCACAAGAUGCCACACAGAAAUUUUUUCUCUAGAAGGAAAAAAGCAAUUGAGUGCAAUUUGAAGCUGUACACUCAGAUGGAAAAGUAAAUGUAAGAAUAUAUGAUAAGUGACAGAUAACAAAUAUUAAUAAGUGAUAUCAUGAACAAAAAAUAAUCUAUGAAUAAAUUACAGUGGCAGACUUAGCAAUUAUACAGGAAAGCAACACCAUCUUGUUAACAUAACUUUAUACAAAUGUAACGUGGUAUUUUAUGAUGGGGUAUUAACUUGUACUAGUCUUCCUUGAAAAUCUCAUUCCCCACCCCACUCUUCUUGGUAGUUCAAAUCAUGCAAGCUGUGGGUGUUUGUGUUAGUGAACAAGUGUAACCCACUCAGAUGAGAGUAAUUUAUGAAAAUAGAAGCAAAAUCAGGUACAGGAGGAUUUAGGAUAGGUGAAUUAGGUUCUGGGGAUGAUAAGAUGGAUCCAGUAAUGUUAAGUAGUACAGGAAAAGGACUAGUCAAUUCUGUGGUGUCAGCUUUCCAUGGAAGGAUACACAAUGUAUAGAUGUAUCUGUUAUGUGUCACAGCAUUCCUUCUGGCUACAUCACAUGGAGUAAGCAUACCUAUGCUCCCCUGCUCCAGGUCCAACUCCUUUGAUACCCUGUACAGUAGUGCCUUCCCCUGCCCCCCCAAACCUCCUAGCAGAUAUGGUGGGUAUAAACAGAACAUAAACCCAGUGGCAAUGCAGCAACAGGUUACCAGACUGGAGUGAGUGACAACCCCAUCUCCAUACAGGUGUGUACUCUAGUUGGUGGCAAUGAGUAGUGGUGACGAGAGGCUGAUGGACCAGACGGCCUGAGCAAACACAAGGGAGCCUGGUUCAUAAGUAGCAGUAGCUACCACCAUGUCCUAGCCAUGUCCAUCUUGGUUGUCUGAGGACUCCUCCAUCCAUGACUAUCCCAUCUCACAAAUAAGCCAUAACAGGAUUCCAUAGGUUCCUGGUCACUACCCAGAAUGAGAGGCUUAUUAGGUAGGGAAUCCUCCUUGGCCUGGUUAUCUGUGUUAAGGCUUGCUACUCAUUUUUGUCAUUAUUAAUCUAUUUAUUUAAUUAUUGUUUUAAAAGUGAUUACUUAUUGUUAUUUCCCCAAGUAAAUUCUAGAAAGUGUUA